rnacentral:rRNA from 1 species
UACAGAGGGGGCAAGCGUUGUUCGGAAUUAUUGGGCGUAAAGGGCGCGUAGGCGGCCUGUUAAGUCGAACGUGAAAUCCCCGGGCUCAACCCGGGAACUGCGUCCGAUACUGGCAGGCUUGAAUUCGGGAGAGGGAUGCGGAAUUCCAGGUGUAGCGGUGAAAUGCGUAGAUAUCUGGAGGAACACCGGUGGCGAAGGCGGCAUCCUGGACCGAGAUUGACGCUGAGGCGCGAAAGCCAGGGGAGCAAACGGG